rnacentral:rRNA from 1 species
UGCCCUACGGGGGGCAGCAGUGGGGGAUAUUGGACAAUGGGGGGAACCCUGAUCCAGCGACGCCGCGUGAGUGAAGAAGUAUCUCGGUAUGUAAAGCCCUAUCGGCAGGGAAGAAGAAAUGACGGUACCUGAAUAAGAAGCACCGGCUAAAUACAUGCCAGCAGCCGCGGUAAUACGUAUGGUGCAAGCGUUAUCCGGAUUUACUGGGCGUAAAGGGAGCGCAGGCGGCGCGCCAAGUCUGAUGUGAAACCCCGGGGCUCAACCCCGGGCAUGCAUUGGAAACUGGCGGGCUGGAGUGCCGGAGG